rnacentral:rRNA from 1 species
UACGUAGGGUGCGAGCGUUGUCCGGAAUUAUUGGGCGUAAAGAGCUUGUAGGCGGUUUGUCGCGUCUGCUGUGAAAAUCCGGGGCUCAACCCCGGACUUGCAGUGGGUACGGGCAGACUAGAGUGUGGUAGGGGAGACUGGAAUUCCUGGUGUAGCGGUGAAAUGCGCAGAUAUCAGGAGGGACACCGAUGGCGAAGGCAGGUCUCUGGGCCACUACUGACGCUGAGAAGCGAAAGCGUGGGGAGCGAACAGG